AAUCAACGCUGGCGGCGUGCCUAACACAUGCAAGUCGCACGAGAAAGCGGACUUCGGUCUGCAAGUACAGUAGCGCACGGGUGAGUAACACGUGAAUUAUCUACCUUCGAGUGGGGAAUAACCUCGGGAAACCGAGGCUAAUGCCGCAUAACACUUACGAGUCAAAGCAGCAAUGCGCUUGAAGAGGAGUUCGCGGCAGAUUAGUUAGUUGGCGGGGUAAUGGCCCACCAAGACGAUGAUCUGUAUCCGGCCUGAGAGGGCGCACGGACACACUGGAACUGAAACACGGUCCAGACUCCUACGGGAGGCAGCAGUGGGGAAUUUUGCGCAAUGGGGGAAACCCUGACGCAGCAACGCCGCGUGGAGGAUGAAAUCCCUUGGGAUGUAAACUCCUUUCGAUCGGGACGAUUAUGACGGUACCGGAAGAAGAAGCCCCGGCUAACUUCGUGCCAGCAGCCGCGGUAA
rnacentral:rRNA from 1 species